AGCAGUGUGGCUUAGUGGAAAGAGCACAGGCUUGGAGUGUCGAAGGUUGUGGGUUCUAAUCCCAACUCCGCCA
rnacentral:tRNA from 1 species